UCCCAGCUAGACGACUGGGUUGAUAGGCCGGAGAUGUAAGCACGGUAACGUGUUGAGUUGACCGGUACUAAUAGGCCGAGGGCUUAACCAC
rnacentral:rRNA from 1 species